GAUGAACGCUGGCGGCGUGCCUAAUACAUGCAAGUCGAGCGAACAGACGAGGAGCUUGCUCCUUUGACGUUAGCGGCGGACGGGUGAGUAACACGUGGGUAACCUACCUAUAAGACUGGGAUAACUUCGGGAAACCGGAGCUAAUACCGGAUAAUAUUUCGAACCGCAUGGUUCGAUAGUGAAAGAUGGCUUUGCUAUCACUUAUAGAUGGACCUGCGCCGUAUUAGCUAGUUGGUAAGGUAACGGCUUACCAAGGCAACGAUACGUAGCCGACCUGAGAGGUGGUUCGGCACCACUGGAACUGUGACCGGUCCCAACCCCCAACGGGAGCGCGAGUGAGGGAAUCUCCCGAAAGGGGCGAACGCCGACCGGGGCAACGCCGCUGGGGUGAUAAAGUUUUCCGGUUCGUAAAACCCUGUUAUUAGGGAAAAACAAACGUGAAAGUAACUGGGCCCGUCUGGACGGUCCCAAAUCAGAAAGCCCCGGCUACCUACGU
rnacentral:rRNA from 1 species